GAUGAACGCUGACAGAAUGCUUAACACAUGCAAGUCAACUUGAACUUCGGUUUGGGUGGCGGACGGGUGAGUAACGCGUAAAGAACUUGCCUCACAGCUAGGGACAACAUUUGGAAACGAAUGCUAAUACCUGAUAUUAUGAUUAUAUGGCAUCGUAUAAUUAUGAAAGCUAUAUGCGCUGUGAGAGAGCUUUGCGUCCCAUUAGCUAGUUGGAGAGGUAACAGCUCACCAAGGCGAUGAUGGGUAGCCGGCCUGAGAGGGUGAUCGGCCACAAGGGGACUGAGACACGGCCCUUACUCCUACGGGAGGCAGCAGUGGGGAAUAUUGGACAAUGGACCGAGAGUCUGAUCCAGCAAUUCUGUGUGCACGAUGAAGUUUUUCGGAAUGUAAAGUGCUUUCAGUUGGGAAGAAAAAAAUGACGGUACCAACAGAGGAAGUGACGGCUAAAUACGUG
rnacentral:rRNA from 1 species